ACGGGAGGCAGCAGUCGGGAAUAUUGCGCAAUGGAGGAAACUCUGACGCAGUGACGCCGCGUAUAGGACGAAGGUCUUCGGAUUGUAAGCUAUUGUCGUUAGGGAAGAGAAAGGACAGUACCUAAGGAGGAAGCUCCGGCUAACUACGUGCCAGCAGCCGCGGUAAUACGUAGGGAGCGAGCGUUAUCCGGAUUUAUUGGGUGUAAAGGGUGCGUAGACGGGAAAUUAAGUUAGUUGUGAAAUCCCUCGGCUUAACUGAGGAACUGCAACUAAAACUGGUUUUCUUGAGUAUUGGAGAGGAAAGCGGAAUUCCUAGUGUAGCGGUGAAAUGCGUAGAUAUUAGGAGGAACACCAGUGGCGAAGGCGGCUUUCUGGACAAAAACUGACGUUGAGGCACAAAAGUGUGGGGAGCAAACAGGAUUAGAUACCCUGGUA
rnacentral:rRNA from 1 species